GCGGGAGUAGUGUAGUGGUUUAGCAUACAACCUUCCCAUCACUUGUCCCACGUCUCAAGAACGUGAGGGCCCAGUCCCUGGCAAGGGAGUAAUCUCCAAGAGGAAACAGGUUGUGACACGAGUUCGAAUCUCGUCUUCCGCA